AAUGGUUCAUUUCACUUUUUCACGUUUUUCUUGAAUUACUCUCCGUUGAAGAUGUGACGUUCUCCACUGUCGCCACCGCUGCGGAUCACGUCGCAUGAGCUCCCUCGGUCGUCUUCAUCGCGUUUGCUCCCUUCGUUGCCAUUGUUGUACGAGCUCUCUCCGCCGUGCUCUUGUCUUACGAGCUCCUUCCGCGCCGCUCUCGUCGCUGCUUCUUCUCUCCUCGCCGGAGGUUGGUCAUCAUCUCUUCUCGUCGCCGUUAGUUCAGGGAAGAAGAAAGAGCGGAAAAGAAUGGGUGAGGAGAAUAAGGUAGUUGGAGAAGGUGAGAAGAAGAAAGAGGAAAGUGUUGGUGCCACUGCUGUUGUUGGUGAUGGAGAGGAGGAAAAGAAUAAGAAGAAGAAUAAGAGUAAGAAGCAGGGUUAAUUUCUUGAAUUUGGAAUGGGAUAUUCAGAAGACGUAUCGAUGAUUUCGAGAAGAGGCUGCAGUAUAUUUCCAAAGAGGAAGCUGCGGUCAUGGCCAGGGUCAAUGGGAGAAGCCGGUCGUGGCGGAGAACUUCACGCCAGAUCAUCAUAAUUUCUGUUAUAUUUGAGGUACAUUUUCCAUUGCUGGAUGAAUGGGUUUAUCUUUGUGUGUUUUUGUUUGUCAUAAAUUAUUUCUCACAUGAAUAGAUUUGUGUAUUUUAACAUGCCAUUCUAUGCUAGAAUUUCUUUGAACUUUAAGUGCAAAAAACUACAAUGGUGGGUGUCACGCUUCUCAUGAGAUUCAGCCUCUUCCUCUUCCUACUUGCUGGAUUAUCACUGUCACUUUUAUGGCCUUCUUUUGCUGUAGAGAGGAAACUGUAAUUGCACUAGUCAAAUUAGGUGCAGUCCCAGGUCUUGUUGAUGACCCAAAAUCAGCCUUUCCUCGAGGGAAAACAACAGCUGAUUUAGCUUCAAGUAGAGGAUAUAAAGAGUCAAUUCUUACUGCCUCUGUUCUUGGUGUCGGGUUGGUCAGUUUGCAUUAGCAUUUCAUCAAUUCAGUUUAUUGACUGUAAAUGCCUUUGCGGUCUUCUGAUUUGAAAGCAGAAUGUGCAUUUUAUAGCAGCAGUAAUGAUGAAUUUCAUCCUGGAGCAUGCUUGGCAUCGUCAAAGAGUGUCAAGGGCGUGUGCCAUGAGCAUCAUCGAGUAUGGUUUGGAAGAGAGUACUUUUAGUUCAUAUAUCUCAUCUUAUAAGUACUUUUAGUUCUCUAAAAUUAGCAUGUAAGGACUUUGGCAGAGAGUGAAAAAUGUUUGUUUGCAACUGAUAGACAGCUUGCAUGUCAAGAGUGAGGGAGAAACAUAGGAGAAAGAAAUGUUGCGAUUCGAAACCAUUUAUGAAGGACAAAGAAUGAGAAGAUUCUAGCUUGAAUGCAGUUGAAAUAAGCUUUGAAUUGUUGCUCUAUUUAGUCAGAUUUUUGACAAGUUAAUUGAUGAAAUAGAAAGUGGAAUAAAUAAUUUGCUUUUGCUCCAACUUUAGAAUUUUCAAAUUGGUUCUUGUGAAUGUUGUUCAUGUUGGUGUUGGCCCUAUUUCUCAAUCUGAUGUGGACUUGGCACAAGCUUGUGAUGCGUGCAUAGUUGGAUUCAAUAUCAAGAGUCCACCUAUUGCUCUUAGUCAGGCAGCAACUCGUGCCAGUAUCAAGCUAUUCUGCACUGUGAACUCUUAUGUAUAGCUCCAAGCACACUCACUCAAGAUAUUGGUUUCUGGCUACAGGUGACUGGUGUCUCUUGCCCUCAUCAGCAUAUUCAUCAUCAAUUUCCAUGGAGAAAGGCAUGUCAAAAUUAGAACUUAAUGAUUCUAUUUACAAUGAACUAGAUUCUAAUCCAACAGGAAGUGGAUGUGAUUCAAAAGAAGCUGCUGUUGUGGAAUCUAAUGGGAAUAAGGAUGCUAUGGACCUCGAGAUUCGUUCAAGAGUGAAAGUGGUGGGGAAACUAGUAAGAACAAAGCACCAUAAGGAAAUUACUUUCCCUUUGGUGAUCAACUCUUCUGAAUCAAAACCUAUCAGGUUCAAGAAGAAUUCAUGCACAUGGCUGAUGGAUGCUGAUUCAUGUCCAUUUUUUGAAAAAGAAUUCAGUUAAUCUUUCUGUAAUAUAUGUAAAAUUGUGUAAAAUUUAGUAUGGUUGAACAAUAUACUGAGGAUUAUAGUUGAUAAUACACUUUGUUUAUGUUUUGAAUUA